rnacentral:rRNA from 1 species
GACGAACGCUGGCGGCGUGCUUAACACAUGCAAGUCGAACGGUAAGGCCCUUUCGGGGGUACACGAGUGGCGAACGGGUGAGUAACACGUGGGUGAUCUGCCCUGCACUUUGGGAUAAGCCUGGGAAACUGGGUCUAAUACCGAAUAGGACCAUGGCCUUCAUGGGUUGUGGUGGAAAGCUUUUGCGGUGUGGGAUGGGCCCGCGGCCUAUCAGCUUGUUGGUGGGGUAAUGGCCUACCAAGGCGACGACGGGUAGCCGGCCUGAGAGGGUGUCCGGCCACACUGGGACUGAGAUACGGCCCAGACUCCUACGGGAGGCAGCAGUGGGGAAUAUUGCACAAUGGGCGCAAGCCUGAUGCAGCGACGCCGCGUGGGGGAUGACGGCCUUCGGGUUGUAAACCUCUUUCAGUAGGGACGAAGCGCAAGUGACGGUACCUACAGAAGAAGCACCGGCCAACUACGUGCCAGCCGCCGCUGUAACAC